UACUUUAGAACAUGGGCCGUUCUAUGUGA
rnacentral:piRNA from 1 species